UAAUGAGUAUAAUAUUAAUAUCCAAUUGCAAUAAUUUUUACAAAUAUGUAAUCACAUGGGUCAAAAAUUAGCGGGUUCGUCAUCCUUCUUCUUCGUCUCUUUUGUUCUUCAGAGUCGGAAGGAUGUGAAGCUCCCCAAUUUUCGCGUUGAUUUCUGGAAUGACUUUCUAAUAUUUCACAGUGGCAAAUUGUGUAAGCAUGUAUUAGAAUGAUUCCUGGUUAAAUAUUUAAGAUCAGAUCAGCGCAAGAAGGUUUUAAAUUUCUUUCUAUUUUCUCUCUUCAUUUUUUUUAAGGAAGUUGAGAUCUAAAGUUUCAUGAUAGUAUUCGCAUCUAUUAUUUUAUUUUUUUAAAUUAUGAUUUUUGUGGUUUGUUUUGGUUUUUUAACUACCAACUUCUUUUAUUACCUACAUCUUUGUUUUUGAGUACUUUGUGAAUUUUUGAGUACUUUGUAGUACAUCUUUUAUUAGUUGUUACCAUUUAUGCUUCAUUCGCCUGAACUAGCAUUGGAUUGUAUUUUAGAGAAGCUUCCCCCUGCUUUCCAGUAGUACAUCUUUUAUUGGAUUGUAUAAGGUUUGAUCAAAUUCAUUUGGCAUGUAUGGCCUUUGACAUGGUUUACAUCAAGAUUUGACAAAAAUAAUAGUAAUAAUGAUUCAAAUUCUCCCCCUGGUUGAUACUGUUAUGUCCUGGUAUUUGGCUCUUGAAAGUGGUAAGUUCUGGUUCCCACCUCAAGUUUACAACCGUGAGAAUGGUCAUGUUGGAUUUAUGUUGUCCUGCUAUGAUGCUGAGCUUAGCUAUGAUCCCCAAACUGAUACUUCCCAGGCAAGGUGCUUGCGGAAUCCAACUAUUCAGACAAUUGAAGAAUAAUAUGAGGAAGAAAAUAGCAUGACACUAACAAAGACUGAGGCAAUUGAAAAAUGGAACGACACUAUUCAACCUAUUAGAUAUCUUUUUUUUUUUCUCUCUUGUAGUUUCCAAUUUCUUUUUACUGUAACAAUUGUGAACAACCAACUAGACAUGUUAGUUGAUUAAGGUGUUUAUAUAAAUGACAAUUAUUUUUUAUCUAUAUAGUAGCUUUUUAUUGA